rnacentral:rRNA from 1 species
CCUCCAGACUCCUACGGGAGGCAGCAGUGGGGAAUAUUGCACAAUGGGAGAAACCCUGAUGCAGCGACGCCGCGUGAGUGAGGAAGUAUUUCGGUAUGUAAAGCUCUAUCAGCAGGGAAGAAAAUGACGGUACCUGACUAAGAAGCCCCGGCUAACUACGUGCCAGCAGCCGCGGUAAUACGUAGGGGGCAAGCGUUAUCCGGAUUUACUGGGUGUAAAGGGGGCGCAGACGGCGAUGCAAGCCAGGAGUGAAAGCCCGGGGCCCAACCCCGGGACUGCUCUUGGAACUGCGUGGCUAGAGUGCAGGAGGGGCAGGCGGAAUUCCUGGUGUAGCGGUGAAAUGCGUAGAUAUCAGGAGGAACACCGGUGGCGAAGGCGGCCUGCUGGACUGCAACUGACGUUGAGGCCCGAAAGCGUGGGGAGCAAACAGGAUUAGAUACCCGAGUA